rnacentral:rRNA from 1 species
CCUACGGGAGGCAGCAGUAGGGAAUCUUCCACAAUGGGCGAAAGCCUGAUGGAGCAACGCCGCGUGAGUGAUGAAGGCCUUCGGGUUGUAAAACUCUGUCAUUCGGGACGAACCAGAGUCUGAGGAAAUGCAGACUCUCUGACGGUACCGGAGGAGGAAGCCCCGGCUAACUACGUGCCAGCAGCCGCGGUAAUACGUAGGGGGCAAGCGUUGUCCGGAUUCACUGGGCGUAAAGCGCGCGCAGGCGGUGAUGUAAGUCUGAGGUGAAAACCCGAAGCUCAACUUCGGGACUGCCUUGGAUACUGCGUCACUUGAGGAUAGGAGAGGCAAGGGGAAUUCCACGUGUAGCGGUGAAAUGCGUAGAGAUGUGGAGGAACACCUGUGGCGAAGGCGCCUUGCUGGCCUAUUUCUGACGCUGAGGCGCGAAAGCGUGGGGAGCAAACAGGAUUAGAUACCCUGGUAGUCCACGCUGUAAACGAUGAGUGCUAGGUGUAGGUGGGCUCAUACCCAUCUGUGCCGAAGCUAACGCAUUAAGCACUCCGCCCUGGGGAGUACGGUCGCAAGACUGAAACUCAAAGGAAUUGACGG